rnacentral:rRNA from 1 species
GACGAACGCUGUCGGCGUGCUUAACACAUGCAAGUCGAACGGAAAGGCCCUGCUUUUGUGGGGUGCUCGAGUGGCGAACGGGUGAGUAACACGUGAGUAACCUGCCCUUGACUUUGGGAUAACUUCAGGAAACUGGGGCUAAUACCGGAUAGGAGCUCCUGCUGCAUGGUGGGGGUUGGAAAGUUUCGGCGGUUGGGGAUGGACUCGCGGCUUAUCAGCUUGUUGGUGGGGUAGUGGCUUACCAAGGCUUUGACGGGUAGCCGGCCUGAGAGGGUGACCGGCCACAUUGGGACUGAGAUACGGCCCAGACUCCUACGGGAGGCAGCAGUGGGGAAUAUUGCACAAUGGGCGGAAGCCUGUUGCAGCAACGCCGCGUGCGGGAUGACGGCCUUCGGGUUGUAAACCGCUUUCGCCUGUGACGAAGCGUGAGUGACGGUAAUGGGUAAAGAAGCACCGGCUAACUACGUGCCAGCAGCCGCGGUGAUACGUAGGGUGCGAGCGUUGUCCGGAUUUAUUGGGCGUAAAGGGCUCGUAGGUGGUUGAUCGCGUCGGAAGUGUAAUCUUGGGGCUUAACCCUGAGCGUGCUUUCGAUACGGGUUGACUUGAGGAAGGUAGGGGAGAAUGGAAUUCCCUGGUGGAGCGGUGGAAUGCGCAGAUAUCAGGAGGAACACCAGUGGCGAAGGCGGUUCUCUGGGCCUUUCCUGACGCUGAGGAGCGAAAGCGUGGGGAGCGAACAGGCUUAGAUACCCUGGUAGUCCACGCUGUAAACGGUGGGUACUAGGUGUGGGGUCCAUUCCACGGGUUCCGUGCCGUAGCUAACGCUUUAAGUACCCCGCCUGGGGAGUACGGCCGCAAGGCUAAAACUCAAAGGAAUUGACGGGGCCCCGCACAAGCGGCGGAGCAUGCGGAUUAAUUCGAUGCAACGCGUAGAACCUUACCUGGGUUUGACAUGGAUCGGGAGUGCUCAGAGAUGGGUGUGCCUCUUUUGGGGUCGGUUCACAGGUGGUGCAUGCCUGUCGUCAGCUCGUGUCGUGAGAUGUUGGGUUAAGUCCCGCAACGAGCGCAACCCUUGUUCACUGUUGCCAGCACGUUAUGGUGGGGACUCAGUGGAGACCGCCGGGGUCAACUCGGAGGAAGGUGGGGAUGACGUCAAGUCCUCAUGCCCCUUAUGUCCAGGGCUUCACGCAUGCUACAAUGGCUGGUACAGAGAGUGGCGAGCCUGUGAGGGUGAGCGAAUCUCGGAAAGCCGGUCUCAGUUCGGAUUGGGGUCUGCAACUCGACCUCAUGAAGUCGGAGUCGCUAGUAAUCGCAGAUCAGCAACGCUGCGGUGAAUACGUUCCCGGG